UUUAGUCAGGCAACGAGCGAGACCCAUAUCCACUGUUGCUAACGUGACCCGUGAGGGUUGGCGAGUACACGGUGGAGACCGCUGGCGCUAAGUCAGAGGAAGGGGUGGUCGACGGUAGGUCAGUAUGCCCCGAAUAUCCCGGGCUACACGCGGGCUACAAUGGACAGGACAAUGGGUAACUACACCGAAAGGUGGCGUCAAUCUCUUAAACCUGUCCUUAGUUCGGAUUGAGGGCUGAAACUCGCCCUCAUGAAGAUGGAAUCCGUAGUAAUCGCAUUUCAAAACAGUGCGGUGAAUACGUCCCUGCUCCUUGCACA
rnacentral:rRNA from 1 species